rnacentral:tRNA from 1 species
GGCUUUAUAGUCAUUUUAAUGAUAUUAGACUGCAAUUCUAAAGGAGUAACGAUUUACUAAGGCUU